rnacentral:rRNA from 12 species
CUGAAGAGUUUGAUCAUGGCUCAGAUUGAACGCUGGCGGCAGGCUUAACACAUGCAAGUCGAGCGGUAACAGGGGUAGCUUGCUACCCGCUGACGAGCGGCGGACGGGUGAGUAAUGCAUAGGAAACUGCCCAGUAGUGGGGGAUAGCCCGGGGAAACCCGGAUUAAUACCGCAUACGUCCUUCGGGAGAAAGCAGGGGAUCUUCGGACCUUGCGCUAUUGGAUGUGCCUAUGUCGGAUUAGCUGGUUGGUGAGGUAAUGGCUCACCAAGGCGACGAUCCGUAGCUGGUCUGAGAGGAUGAUCAGCCACAUCGGGACUGAGACACGGCCCGAACUCCUACGGGAGGCAGCAGUGGGAAUAUUGCACAAUGGGCG